rnacentral:lncRNA from 1 species
AUUAUAGGGCUUGUUUGGUAAAAGAGAUAAAAGAGAUAACUAAUCUCGAGAUUAAUUUUAAGAUGCGAUUAUCCUAUGUUUGGUUGAAAAAAAUGCACGGAUAACUCAUUGUGGAAUUAGUUAUCUCAAGAUUGUAGUGUUAUUUUUAACGAUGGGAUAACUAACUAGAAUAACUAAUCUCAAAACAAUUAAUUCCAGGAUAACUUAUUUCCCAGCCAAACGACCCUUAAGUAAAUGAAACCACUGCUUUCCUAUUAGUUGUCAUGUUUAUUCAUUGUCGUUUUUUCCUUUUCGUUACUACUUUAAUUUGUUUCAUUUGAGUCGAGAGUCUUUUCAAAACAGUUUCCCUACGUACCUUCAAAUGGUAGGGGUAAGAUAAGAUCUGCAUACACCUAUAUAUAUAUAUAAAAAGAAACAAUUUUUCUUUAUGUCAUACAAAGAAGAAGUAAAAGUGGGAUCUGAUCAUAUAAAAUUAAAGCAAGAAAAAGAUUAUAUACUAUAUAUAUGUUUUUUUUGUUUUUUGUUUUUCAUCCGGUGUCCGGUACCUGCAUUGGAAACCGACUAAUUCGAAUUCGCGCCGGGUAGGGCUCCAUUUGGGGUAGUGCUCCCAACAGAGUUUUUCUCCAUGCCCAAGGUCGAAUCCUCAACCUCUGGUUAAGGGUGGAGCAGCCCCAUCCGCUGCACCACAACCCAUGUUGGUUACUAUAUAUAUGUUCAUCUACUUUCAACAUGGUUGUAUUUGAUAUUAAUAUGGAGAGAGCAUACAUAAUAUUUUUCUCUUGAAGUGAUUUAUUAAUGCUGCAAUAUUUAUAACUUCUCUUUCUGCAAAUUUUAAAGUUGUAGUGGUUAAAAUGGCUGGCAAAUUAGCUAUGGCCUGACAUAAUGAAAUACCUUACCUAAUUUAAAUAAAUACCUUUAAUAAAAUUUAUGUAGACAUAGUUGGGAAGGCUCCAUAUGAGAAGGAAAUGACAAGAUUGUGGUCCAUAUUAAAUUCCAACAAAAUGGAAAUUUUCAUAAUUGCUAUGAAGUAAAAUGGUGCUCAUGCAUUAUUUCUUUUGAGUGUAUAGUAUAUCGGAAACAACCUUUCUACUUCAUCUGAGAUAGUGGUAGGACUGCAUACAUUUUAUCCUUCUCAGACUUCACUUUAUGGGAAUACACUGGGUAUAUUAUUGCUGCUGUUGUUGUUAUUAAGUCAAUAGUCUAUCGGAAACAGCCUCUAACGGUAUGAACUGUGUACACUUUACCCUCUCCAGAUUCCACUUUAUAGGAAUAUAUUGGGUAUGUUGUUGUUGUUGUUGAGUUGAUAGUCUAUCGAAAACAACUUCUUUACUUUAUUUGAAGUAGUGGUGUGGACUGCGUACACUUUACCCUCUCCAGACUCCAUUUUAUGGGAAUACACUGGGUAUAUUGUUGUUGUUGUUGAGUCAAUAGUUUAUCGAAAACAACUUCUUUACUUCAUCUGAAGUAGUGGUAUGGACUGUGUGCACUUUAUCCUCCUCAGACCCCACUUUAUAGGAAUACACUAGGUAUGUUGUUGUUACUAUUGUUGUUGUUGAGUCGAUAGUCUAUCAGAAACAGUCUCUCUACUUCAUCUGGAGUAGUGUGGUAUGGACUGCGUACACUUUACCGUCCCCAGACUCUACUUUAUGGAAAUACACUGGGUGUAUUAUUGUUGUUUUUGAGUCAAUAGCCUAUCGAAAACAACCUCUCUACUGCAUCUGAGGUAGUGAUAUGGACCGCAUAAAUUUUACCCUCCUCAAACUCCACUUUAUAGGAAUACACUAGGUAUGUUGUUGUUGCUGUCGUUGUUGUUGAGUCAAUAGUCUAUCGAAAACAGUCUCUUUACAUCACAAAGAAAGAAAUAAGGUUUGUGUAUAUCAUUCACAAAGAAAGAAAUAAGGUUUGUGUAUAUCAUGCUCUUUUCAAACUCCACUUGUGAAUUACACCGAAUACGUAGUUAUUGUAUAUAUAAUCCACGAAAAGAGGCUCAAGUUUUUUUUUUGUUUUUAUUUUUCACCUGACGUGGAGUACUCAUUUUGGGAGUAACUCUGACUAAUCCAAAUUCACGUUAUGUAAAUGUUCAUAUUUUAAUAGAGUUAAAAGGAUCGAGACCUAUAAUUAAAGAUGGAGAGAUGUUACCUAUAUAUUCACCACAAGUAUUGGUGGUGAAACUUGAAAGGGAUCAAAUAUGGUAAAAAAUUCUUAGAUCAAACAUAGUAACAUACAAAAAUAUAGAUCAUAUAAAUUAGUAUGAAAGUUUAAUAUGUACCUAUUUGAGGAUUGAUGUACAAUACUAGGCCUCAGUGGAACAAAUACCACAUGUUGGACAGUUCAAUGCACUAAAAUUUUCGCUAUAUUUAGGGUUAACGAAAGAGCUAGACUACAAGAGUCUACUGUACGUACCGUACCCUGCAUUUAACAAGAGACUGUUUUCACGACCUGAACUCACAUGAAGGCAACUUUACAUUGACUGUACGUACCAUACCCUGCAUUUAACAAGAGACUAUUUUCACGAUCUGAACUCACAUGAAGGCAACUUUACAUUGACUGUACGUAUCGUACCCUGCAUUUAACAAGAGACUGUUUUCACGACCUAAACUCACAUGGAGGCAACUUUACAUUGAUUGUAAAGUAUCGUACCCUGCAUUUAAAAAGAGACUGUUUUCACGACCUAAACUCACAUGAAGGCAACUUUACAUUGACUGUACGUACCGUACCCUACAUUUAACAAGAGACUGUUUUCACAACCUGAACUCACAUAGGCAACUUAACAAUGUAAGAUAUUCAAUACGAGUUCAGUAAAAUUCAAUAAUUUUGAUUCAAACCUUCUAUAUAUGUUAGAGAAAUUUACCAAAUGCAUACAAAAUAAAAUUCAUAAUUGAAAUUAAAUGUUGUUUAUGAAAUUAAACCAAUUGCUUUCUUGAGUUGGGGUGGGGGCCUAUAAUACUAUAUUAAUUGGAACUUAUGGAAAGAUUAAAAAAGGACACCAUGUGAUAACAAAUCACUAAAAACCAAACAUGGAUUAAUAAAGUUACAAAAAUAUAAAUCAACAAAUAAAGUUUCCAACAUAAUUCACAAAAUUGAGAAAUAAUAGAUCUAGUGAUAGAGAAUAACUCAC